AACGAUGAAGCUUCUAGCUUGCUAGAAUGCUGAUUAGUGGCGCACGGGUGAGUAACGCAUAGGUCAUGUGCCUCUUAGUUUGGGAUAGCCAUUGGAAACGAUGAUUAAUACCAGAUACUCCCUACGGGGGAAAGAUUUAUCGCUAAGAGAUCAGCCUAUGUCCUAUCAGCUUGUUGGUAAGGUAAUGGCUUACCAAGGCUAUGACGGGUAUCCGGCCUGAGAGGGUGAACGGACACACUGGAACUGAGACACGGUCCAGACUCCUACGGGAGGCAGCAGUAGGGAAUAUUGCUCAAUGGGGGAAACCCUGAAGCAGCAACGCCGCGUGGAGGAUGAAGGUUUUA
rnacentral:rRNA from 1 species